rnacentral:rRNA from 1 species
CCUACGGGUGGCAGCAGUGAGGAAUAUUGGUCAAUGGACGCAAGUCUGAACCAGCCAUGCCGCGUGCAGGAAGACGGCUCUAUGAGUUGUAAACUGCUUUUGUACGAGGGUAAACGCAGAUACGUGUAUCUGUCUGAAAGUAUCGUACGAAUAAGGAUCGGCUAACUCCGUGCCAGCAGCCGCGGUAAUACGGAGGAUUCAAGCGUUAUCCGGAUUUAUUGGGUUUAAAGGGUGCGUAGGCGGUCGGAUAAGUUCGCGGUGAAAUCCCGAGGCUCAACUUCGGAAUUGCCUCUGAUACUGCUCGGCUAGAGAGUAGUUGCGGUAGGCGGAAUGUAUGGUGUAGCGGUGAAAUGCAUAGAGAUCAUACAGAACACCGAUUGCGAAGGCAGCUUACCAGGCUACUUCUGACGUUGAGGCACGAAAGCGUGGGGAGCGAACAGGAUUAGAUACCCUUGUAGUC